rnacentral:lncRNA from 1 species
AGCUCUGCCAACUCCUUGUCGCUCUUGGUGCCGAAGCCGAGCGGGUUGAAGAUGGGCCCGCCGGGGUAGGCGGGGUCGCCGGAGCCGCCGAGGAACUUCUCCAGGCCCAGGAAGUACUGCUUCCCCAUGGAGCCUGGGUUGUACCAGUCCUGCAGCCGCCGGUGCUCCGCGAACCCGAUCAGCGCCAUCUCGAACACGAACAGCGUGUAGGGGUCGGCCCAGUACUGGUACGUGCCCGCAGGCGGGAUGGCGCCCGCCUGGAACCACGGGAUCGCCGUCUCCGGCGGGACAAGCCCGACCUUGCCCAAGGCCUCCGGUGCGAUCAUGCCCACCACGCCCAUCAUCGCCGUCCGCCCGUUGAAGACCUCGCCGUAGGCCAGCCACUUGGGCUCGAUGAACCCGCCGGUGCCCUCCGGGUCCGACAGGCCCAGCGGGUCGAAGCCGAAGUCACCCGGCAGUCUGCACACCAUUAAUACUUUCUUGAUCAGAUUCUCAAUCAAUUCUCUUUGCCACCCUGCCAAUAUUCCAAUGAAUACAUAUUGUGCUCCGGUGCAAGACUUACG